rnacentral:rRNA from 1 species
AACAAACGCUGGCGGCGUGUCUUAAGCAUGCAAGUUGAGCGGCAAGGAGGAGAGAUCCUCCCUAGAGCGGCGGACUGGUGAGUAACGCGUGGGUAAUCUAUCGUAGGCAUGGGGAUAGUCACUAGAAAUAGUGGGUAAUACCGAAUACGUUCCAUGAGGGAGUAUUCAUGGAAGAAAGGGUGCUACGGCACUGGCCUUAGGUGAGCUCGCGUCCCAUUAGCUAGUUGGUGAGGUAAAGGCCCACCAAGGCGAUGAUGGGUAGCCGGCCUGAGAGGGUGUACGGCCACACUGGGACUGAGAUACGGCCCAGACUCCUACGGGAGGCAGCAGCUAAGAAUAUUCCGCAAUGGACGAAAGUCUGACGGAGCGACGCCGCGUGGAUGAAGAAGGCCGAAAGGUUGUAAAGUUCUUUUGCUUAGGGGAGAAUAAGUGAGGAGGAAUGCCCUCAUGAUGACAAGGACUAGCGAAUAAGCCCCGGCAACUACGUGCCAGCAGCCG